rnacentral:ribozyme from 1 species
UGCCAGCAACUCCUAUCCCUACCUCCUCAAGAUACUGGCCAAGGUACGAGUAACCUCAGGGAAGAUCGGGUAAUCAACCCCGGUGGGAACUUUGAUCGUAUGCUGAUAGAGAAGG